AUUCCGAGAUUGUGUGCUGAGGGUUUUCAACUGCAUCUCUAAAGGGAAGGCCAAAGAAAGAGCAACAGGAAAGGAUGGUAAAAAGGGGGUAGAAAGGAAGAAGGAAGGGAAGAAAAAAGGGAAAACAGCAAGCUCUCUUUCCAGAGCCACACAUUUUUUUCUGUUUGCUCAGUGGCAGUCUGUUAAAGAAAUACUUCAUUGUCACUGAACACAGAGUCAUUAAAGGCACCUUGGAAAUUUGGACCCUUUUACUAGAAUCAGGGCUUAAAUAGCAACUUAAUUUAUGACACUUCUCGAGGCUGAUGGCGUUUUUGCUCUAAGACCUGCCUUGCAAGAAAUGUUAAAAGAAGUGCUUUAGAGAGCAGGGAAAUUCUAUAGGUCAGACACUUGGAUCUACAUAAAAAAAGGAAGAAACCAAAGGAGAAAUAAGUGAAGGGGCUUGAAGAAGAUAUCUAGAAAUGUCAAAGCAGAAGAGCCUCGGAGAUAAUCUGAACUAUUUCUGAGUUUAUAUAAGGGAAAACUGAGACUGGAGAGAACUAACAUGUCUAAUAUUACAAUGGAAACUUGUAAUAAAACCACAAAUUG
rnacentral:lncRNA from 1 species